AAUCAGGCCGGUUCCUAUGGAGGAUGGCGCAAAAGGCCAGGCCGUCCCUGAAGGAGCUGCUGAGGUCUCGGAUCUCCACGCCAGGGUAGCCCUCGCAUUGACGGCGGCACCAGGCCUGCAAGGCGCUACGGGGACCCGACAUCGGGGCGGCCAAGGAGAAAACGAGGGGAAUCCAGGCUCAGGGAGCCGCUACUGCUGCUGUUCCUGCUCGGAAAAGCGACAUGGAUGGGGUGGAGAAGCAGGAGGCAGCCCUGUUGUGUUCCGGCCAGGCUGGGCGCGCCUCGGAUCCGGGCGGCUCCUGUGCGACUCUCAACGGGUCUAGGCGGGUCUGUGCCUCCGAGCCCGGCAAGGCUCCUUUCCCCGUGGUUGGGCGGGGAGGCUGAGCUCCGGUCCCCGCGCUCAGGUUCUUUCUCCAGGCUCCCCUCCUACCCCCGGGGGGCGCCUCCUUCCUCUCCCGCCCAGCCACACCGCCGGGUUCUGCUCAGACCUGUCCCUGCCGCCGCGGCUUCUCCGCCCAUGAUGAUCCCCGCGCCGACCCCAGCACAGCAGUUACUCAUCGAGUGGCACUGGCAGAGAAGCCCGGCUGGGCCGCAGCCUGGCGAGCAAAGUGAGGUGCAGCACCGCCGAAUACGAUUGCGCCCGGUUGGAGAGGAGCAGGAGGGCAAGCAUCGCUCUUAGGCAGUGGAGAAAGAGGGAGGAGACAAGACUCUAGCCGAACCAUAAGUUCACGGACGACCGUUCUGGCCGUGACUUUUGCAAUUGUUUUCAGGAAGGCUAAAUGGAACCUCCAUGGCCAGAGGCACGAUGCCAUCCAAAACCAGUUGCUAGGGCAACCGCGGCAAACGACUGUUGCCUUCAUGCUUUGCUUGUGGGCUUCCCGGAAGCACCUAAGCAACUACUGUGGGAAACAGGAUAUCGGCCUAGAUUAGGGAUGGGGGAACCUGUAGCCCUCCAAAUGUUGCUGGACUCCAUCUCCCAUCAGCCCUGCCCAUUUGAGACACAAAGGGAAAAUGUGCAGACAGCAAUAUAUCAGAUGGACAGUAUCACCUUCUUGGUCUCUGCUAGGAGUAUUCCAUUCCAAAGGCUGGAGAGGCAUUCCGAGCCAUUAAGGAGCAUUAACAUUCUUGUGACAAAAAGUUCCUGGCCAUUCAUUCACAAUAAUCAAAACCAGCCAGAAACUCAACAAUAUUGUGCAAAUUGAUUCAAUAUGACAAGAUCU